rnacentral:rRNA from 1 species
UACAGAGGUCUCAAGCGUUGUUCGGAUUCAUUGGGCGUAAAGGGUGUGUAGGUGGCGCCGUAAGUCGGGUGUGAAAUUUCGAGGCUUAACCUCGAGACUGCAUUCGAUACUGCGGUGCUUGAGGACUGGAGAGGAGACUGGAAUUUACGGUGUAGCGGUGAAAUGCGUAGAUAUCGUAAGGAAGACCAGUGGCGAAGGCGGGUCUCUGGACAGUUCCUGACGCUGAGGCACGAAGGCCAGGGGAGCAAACGGG